rnacentral:lncRNA from 1 species
GCAGGAGAAGGAGAAGAAGAUGUCAGAGAAGAUGACCGGAGACAGUCUCGUUGAGCACUCCUUUAAGAACAAGGGCACUGCGAAGACACAGCCCUUCCUCUAGCGCUAAUUCUGUUGGUGCAGAAUUCUGCCGAUGCCGGAGAAGCUGGAGUUGAGAUGACCGCGGCCACCGCCGGGACCUGCAAGGAAAGUCUAAAUCGGAGUUAGAGGUGCUCCGGUAAGACCCUCUGAUGCUCAAGUCAGUACUCUGCUUCAACAGAAAUUGAGCACUCAAAUAGAAUUUUGGCAGAGUUUCGAGAUAGAGUUUAGAGCUUAGAGAAGAACGUA